rnacentral:rRNA from 1 species
UGAGCUUGAUCCUGGCUCAGGACGAACGCGGCGGCGUGCCUAAUACAUGCAAGUCGAGCGAACUUCUUUAGAGCUUGCUUUAAAGAAGUUAGCGGCGGACGGGUGAGUAACACGUGGGCAACCUGCCUGUAAGACUGGGAUAACUUCGGGAAACCGGAGCUAAUACCGGAUAAUAUAUAGUACCUCCUGGUACUAUAUUGAAAGAUGGUUUCGGCUAUCACUUACAGAUGGGCCCGCGGCGCAUUAGCUAGUUGGUGAGGUAACGGCUCACCAAGGCAACGAUGCGUAGCCGACCUGAGAGGGUGAUCGGCCACACUGGGACUGAGACACGGCCCAGACUCCUACGGGAGGCAGCAGUAGGGAAUCUUCCACAAUGGACGAAAGUCUGAUGGAGCAACGCCGCGUGAGCGAUGAAGGCCUUCGGGUCGUAAAGCUCUGUUGUUAGGGAAGAACAAGUGCGAGAGUAACUGCUCGCACCUGACGGUACCUACCCGAAG